rnacentral:tRNA from 1 species
GCCAUGACUCAGUGGUAGGACAUCUGAUUGGCUUGCAGAAGGUUCCAGGUUCAAGCCCCGGUUUCUCCA